rnacentral:rRNA from 1 species
GACUCAACACGGGGAAACUCACCAGGUCCGGACACAAUAAGGAUUGACAGAUUGAGAGCUCUUUCUUGAUUUUGUGGGUGGUGGUGCAUGGCCGUUCUUAGUUGGUGGAGUGAUUUGUCUGCUUAAUUGCGAUAACGAACGAGACCUUAACCUGCUAAAUAGCCAGGCCCGCUUUGGCGGGUCGCCGGCUUCUUAGAGGGACUAUCGGCUCAAGCCGAUGGAAGUUUGAGGCAAUAACAGGUCUGUGAUGCCCUUAGAUGUUCUGGGCCGCACGCGCGCUACACUGACAGAGCCAACGAGUUCAUUUCCUUGUCCGAAAGGUCUGGGUAAUCUUGUUAAACUCUGUCGCGCUGGGGAUAGAGCAUUGCAAUUAUUGCUCUUCAACGAGGAAUGCCUAGUAAGCGCAUGUCAUCAGCAUGCGUUGAUUACGUCCCUGCCCUUUGUACACACCGCCCGUCGCUACUACCGAUUGAAUGGCUCGGUGAGGCCUUCGGACUGGCCCAGGGAGGUCGGCAACGACCACCCAGGGCCGGAAAGUUGGUCAAACCCGGUCAUUUAGAGGAAGUAAAAGUCGUAAUCAAGGUUU